rnacentral:rRNA from 1 species
AAUAUUGGACAAUGGGGGCAACCCUGAUCCAGCCAUGCCGCUUGUGUGAAGAAGGUCUUCGGAUUNUCAAGCACUUUAAGUUGGGANGAAGGGCUUUAGGUUAAUACCCUGAAGUUUUGACGUUACCAACUGACUAAGCACCGGCUAACUCUGUGCCAGCAGCCGCGGUAAUACAGAGGGUGCAAGCGUUAAACGGAAAUAUAUGGCGUAAAGCGCGCGUAGGUGGUUCAGUAAGAUGGGUGUGAAAUCCCCGGGCUUAAACUGGGAACUGCUUUCAUAACUGCUGAGCUAGAGUACGGUAGAGGGUAGUGGAAUUUCCUGUGUAGCGGUGAAAUGCGUAGAUAUAGGAAGGAACACCAGUGGCGAAGGCGACUACCUGGACUGAUACUGACACUGAGGUGCGAAAGCGUGGGGAGCAAAC